GGAGUUAGCGACAGGGAGGGAUGCGCGCCUGGGUGUAGUUGUGGGGGAGGAAGUGGCUAGCUCAGGGCUUCAGGGGACAGACAGGGAGAGAUGACUGAGUUAGAUGAGACGAGGGGGCGGGCUGGGGGUGCGAGAAGGAAGCUUGGCAAGGAGACUAGGUCUAGGGGGACCACAGUGGGGCAGGCUGCAUGGAAAAUAUCCGCAGGGUCCCCCAGGCAGAACAGCCACGCUCCAGGCCAGGCUGUCCCUACUGCCUGGUGGAGGGGGAACUUGACCUCUGGGAGGGCGCCGCUCUUGCAUAGCUGAGCGAGCCCGGGUGCGCUGGUCUGUGUGGAAGGAGGAAGGCAGGGAGAGGUAGAAGGGGUGGAGGAGUCAGGAGGAAUAGGCCGCAGCAGCCCUGGAAAUGAUCAGGAAGGCAGGCAGUGGGUGCAGGGCUGCAGGAGGGCCGGGAGGGCUAAUCUUCAACUUGUCCAUGCCAGCAGCCCCUUUUUUUCCAGACCAAGGGCUGUGAACCCGCCUGGGGAUGAGGCCUGGUCUUGUGGAACUGAACUUAGCUCGACGGGGCUGACCGCUCUGGCCCAGGGUGGUAUGUAAUUUUCGCUCGGCCUGGGACGGGGCCCAGGCCGGGCCCAGCCUGGUGGAGCGUCCAGGUCUGGGUGCGAAGCCAGGCCCCUGGGCGGAGGUGAGGGGUGGUCUGAGGAGUGAUGUGGAGUUAAGGCGCCAUCCUCACCGGUGACUGGUGCGGCACCUAGCAUGUUUGACAGGCGGGGACUGCGAGGCACGCUGCUCGGGUGUUGGGGACAACAUUGACCAACGCUUUAUUUUCCAGGUGGCAGUGCUCCUUUUGGACUUUUCUCUAGGUUUGGCGCUAAACUCUUCUUGUGAGCUCACUCCACCCCUUCUUCCUCCCUUUAACUUAUCCAUUCACUUAAAACAUUACCUGGUCAUCUGGUAAGCCCGGGACAGUAAGCCGAGUGGCUGUUGGAGUCGGUAUUGUUGGUAAUGGUGGAGGAAGAGAGGCCUUCCCGCUGAGGCUGGGGUGGGGCGGAUCGGUGUUGCUUGCCUGCAGAGAGGGUGGGGAGUGAAUGUGCACCCUUGGGUGGGCCUGCAGCCAUCCAGCUGAAAGUUACAAAAAUGCUUCAUGGACCGUGGUUUGUUACUAUAGUGUUCCUCAUGGCGAGCAGAUGGAACCGGGAGACAUGGAGUCCCUGGCCAGUGUGAGUCCUAGCAUUGCAGGAGGGGAGACCCUGGAGGAGAGAGCCCGCCUCAAUUGAUGCCUGCAGAUUGAAUUUCCAGAGGCUUAGGAGGAGGAAGUUCUCCAAUGUUCUGUUUCCAGGCCUUGCUCAGGAAGCCCUGUAUUCAGGAGGCUACCAUUUAAAGUUUGCAGAUGAGCUUAUGGGGGGCAAUCUUAAAAAGUCCACAGCAGAUGCAUCCGGCUCGAGGGGCCAUCAGCUUUGAAUAAAUGCUUGUUCCAGAGCCCAUGAAUGCCAGCAGGCACCCCUCCUUUCCUGGGGUAAAGGUUUUCAGAUGCUGCAUCUUCUAAAUUGAGCCUCCGGUCAUACUAGUUUUGUGCUUGGAACCUUGCUUCAAGAAGAUCCCUAAGCUGUAGAACAUUUUAACGUUGAUGCCACAACGCAGAUUGAUGCCUUGUAGAUGGAGCUUGCAGAUGGAGCCCCGUGACCUCUCACCUACCCACCUGUUUGCCUGCCUUCUUGUGCGUUUCUCGGAGAAGUUCUUAGCCUGAUGAAAUAACUUGGGGCGUUGAAGAGCUGUUUAAUUUUAAAUGCCUUAGACUGGGGAUAUAUUAGAGGAAGCAGAUUGUCAAAUUAAGGGUGUCAUUGUGUUGUGCUAAACGCUGGGAGGGUACAAGUUGGUCAUUCCUAAAUCUGUGUGUGAGAAAUGGCAGGUCUAGUUUGGGCAUUGUGAUUGCAUUGCAGAUUACUAGGAGAAGGGAAUGGUGGGUACACCGGUAGUGCUCUUUUGUUCUUGCUUCGUUUUUUUAAACUUGAACUUUACUUCGUUAGAUUUCAUAAUACUUUCUUGGCAUUCUAGUAAGAGGACCCUGAGGUGGGAGUUGUGGGGGACGGGGAGAAGGGGACAGCUUGGCACCGGUCCCGUGGGCGUUGCAGUGUGGGGGAUGGGGGUAUGCAGCUUGGCACUGGUACUGGGAGGGAUGAGGGUGAAGAAGGGGAGAGGGUUGGUUAGAGAUACAGUGUGGGUGGUGGGGGUGGUAGGAAAUGCAGGUUGAAGGGAAUUCUCUGGGGCUUUGGGGAAUUUAGUGCGUGGGUGAGCCAAGAAAAUACUAAUUAAUAAUAGUAAGUUGUUAGUGUUGGUUAAGUUGUUGCUUGGAAGUGAGAAGUUGCUUAGAAACUUUCCAAAGUGCUUAGAACUUUAAGUGCAAACAGACAAACUAACAAACAAAAAUUGUUUUGCUUUGCUACAAGGUGGGGAAGACUGAAGAAGUGUUAACUGAAAACAGGUGACACAGAGUCACCAGUUUUCCGAGAACCAAAGGGAGGGGUGUGUGAUGCCAUCUCACAGGCAGGGGAAAUGUCUUUACCAGCUUCCUCCUGGUGGCCAAGACAGCCUGUUUCAGAGGGUUGUUUUGUUUGGGGUGUGGGUGUUAUCAAGUGAAUUAGUCACUUGAAAGAUGGGCGUCAGACUUGCAUACGCAGCAGAUCAGCAUCCUUCGCUGCCCCUUAGCAACUUAGGUGGUUGAUUUGAAACUGUGAAGGUGUGAUUUUUUCAGGAGCUGGAAGUCUUAGAAAAGCCUUGUAAAUGCCUAUAUUGUGGGCUUUUAACGUAUUUAAGGGACCACUUAAGACGAGAUUAGAUGGGCUCUUCUGGAUUUGUUCCUCAUUUGUCACAGGUGUCUUGUGAUUGAAAAUCAUGAGCGAAGUGAAAUUGCAUUGAAUUUCAAGGGAAUUUAGUAUGUAAAUCGUGCCUUAGAAACACAUCUGUUGUCUUUUCUGUGUUUGGUCGAUAUUAAUAAUGGCAAAAUUUUUGCCUAUCUAGUAUCUUCAAAUUGUAGUCUUUGUAACAACCAAAUAACCUUUUGUGGUCACUGUAAAAUUAAUAUUUGGUAGACAGAAUCCAUGUACCUUUGCUAAGGUUAGAAUGAAUAAUUUAUUGUAUUUUUAAUUUGAAUGUUUGUGCUUUUUAAAUGAGCCAAGACUAGAGGGGAAACUAUCACCUAAAAUCAGUUUGGAAAACAAGACCUAAAAAGGGAAGGGGAUGGGGAUUGUGGGGAGAGAGUGGGCGAGGUGCCUUUACUACAUGUGUGAUCUGAAAACCCUGCUUGGUUCUGAGCUGCGUCUAUUGAAUUGGUAAAGUAAUACCAAUGGCUUUUUAUCAUUUCCUUCUUCCCUUUAAGUUUCACUUGAAAUUUUAAAAAUCAUGGUUAUUUUUAUCGUUGGGAUCUUUCUGUCUUCUGGGUUCCAUUUUUUAAAUGUUUAAAAAUAUGUUGACAUGGUAGUUCAGUUCUUAACCAAUGACUUGGGGAUGAUGCAAACAAUUACUGUCGUUGGGAUUUAGAGUGUAUUAGUCACGCAUGUAUGGGGAAGUAGUCUCGGGUAUGCUGUUGUGAAAUUGAAACUGUAAAAGUAGAUGGUUGAAAGUACUGGUAUGUUGCUCUGUAUGGUAAGAACUAAUUCUGUUACGUCAUGUACAUAAUUACUAAUCACUUUUCUUCCCCUUUACAGCACAAAUAAAGUUUGAGUUCUAAACUCAUUA
rnacentral:lncRNA from 10 species